UACACUUUCAGUAACUGAAAGCUAAGCUAAAAGAUCCUCAGUGGGAUUUUAUCCUGGAUCUUGCUUUGUAAAUUUGCUAAAUAAUAAUAUAAUCUCAGAGAAUGGAAACUGGUUACAUACUAAAACUUUCUGAUUGAGAGUGUCUUUGCCGUCAUAACUGAUGGCCAGUGUGUGUUUUCAGCCCUGUGCGUGACACUGUUGUGACCGAUGGGGAUAUGACACUAUAUGAAUUAAUUUGUGGAUAUUACACCUGCUCAGAUUGCUAUAACCCCGGACACCUGCUGAAACACAAGUGAGAGAACUGCAUGACCACUGACCAGAAGUCAUGGGGCUACAGAAGAGAUGCCAAACUCAGAGAUUACCUCACUAUUGAACAGCUGAUAGCAGCAUUUUACAACAGCAGCGCAUGGAGAGUUCAGAAUGACACUGUCACUCCUGGAGUCCGGUCAGUUACAUUAUAAACUCACUUUCAUGAACUGUUACAUACUGAGCAAAGGUCUGUUUGCCAAAGCUUUGUGUUUCAUUUCAUGCUUUAUCUUUUUCACUGUUAUUUGCUUUUAAAUGUAAGUGUGGUUUUGUUUUGUCAUAACAGGUAUGCGUGGAAUCAGAAGAACGUAAUCUAUGCUAUUUUCCGCCUGCUGAUGGCUAUAUUGUUCUGAGCAACCCAGUUGCAUCAUCAUCCAAGAUGCAGGUGGUGCUGCUUGGAUAUCGGUCCCUCUCAUGGGAGUCCAUGAGACCCACUGGUCUAAAGGUUCAUCUGCCCCAGCUGGCCCCCGGUCAGAUGCCCUGCUCCUGGGCUUGGACUCUGCAGCUGACUGGUGCGGUGCAGCCAGAGGAUGGCGCCACAGUUAGCUGUUGCCUUAGGAAUAAUGAAGCACAUGACUGAAGGCACUAUGGGGUUUUUAUCCACACAUUUUACAUUUAAAGACUCCUUGUGGUAAAAAUCAAAUUUUUUACUUUGUUUACAUGUCUGUCUGGUGUUUUUCAUAUGCUUAAGGACAAAUCAUAUGCAAAUUCAUCAGUCAACAACAUUACUAAGCAUUUUCUCCUUGGUGUACCAAAGACAGUCCAAAGCGCAGUUUGAGGCCGCCAUUGUUUCCUUCCGUCACAAACAUGUAACCAAUCACCUCAUUUUAACAAGAAAAGGAGUAGAUGUGAUGUAAAUAAGAGAUCAAGUGUGCAUUAUAGAGCUUCAUUGAUUAUAACUGAAUUUUGUGAGAUUGCGAUGAACUGAUGAGUGACAGCUUUUUAGUAAUUAUAAUGCUCUUUGCGCGCUUGACAUCUACAUUACAUUUACAUUUAUUAAUUUAGCAGACACUUUUAUCCAAAUCGACUUACAAUUAAGGAAUACAACAAUUGAUUCAUUAUAAAGAGGCAAAUAAGCAAAGGAAGUGCUUGUAAUAUGAAAUUUUUGGGUGUAUAUGGAGAAGAGGAGGGGUCCAAGAACUGACCCCUGUGGAACCCCAGUGACCAGUUGAUGUUCUUUGGAUACCUCCCGUCCCCAGGCCACCCUGAGAGACCUACCUGUGAGAUAGGAUUCAAACCAGCUUAGUAAAAUCCCAUUGAUGAGAGGGAGGACAGGAGGAUCUUAUGAUUCACAGUAUCAAAGGUGGCAGAUAAAUCCAGCAGAAUGAAAACUGAUGAUUUGCAAUAAGCCUUCCGCAAGGUUUCAGUGACUGACAGUAAUGCAGUGUCAGUUGAAUGGCCACUUCUGAAACCUGAUUGGUUAAGGUCCAGUUGGUUGUUCUGUGAAAGAAGUAAUGUUACCUGGUUGAAAGUUACUCAUUCAAGUGUUUUAGCUAUGAAUGGAAGCAAAGAGACAAGUCUGUAGCUAUCUACAAGUGAAGUGUUUAAUGUAGGUUUUUUAAGCAGUGGGGUUAUCAAGCCUGCUUGAAUGCGGUGGGGAAAAAGAGAUGUGUUGAUGAUAUGUGUAAGUGCUGGUAGGAGAAAUUGCUUGGAGAAGGUGUGAGGAGAUAGGGUCUAAAGGGCAUGUUGUAGGAUGGCUGGAGUGGAGAAAUUUAGAUACUUCUGUCUCAGUGAGGAGACAGAAAGAGGAGAGGGGAGUUUUAGCAGUGGAUGUGGUUUGUAUGAGUUCCUGUGUCUUUGGAGCUGAGAACUGACUGCUGAUGGUUAUAAUUUUGUUGGUGAUGAUGGAGAAAAAUCAUCAGCUGAGGUUUUGGAUGCUUUGAUCAGAUUACAUGGAGCAGGUCCGAGCUGCUAUGAUUGAGUGACUGAGGCGGAGACUUAUUUGCAUAUUAUUUGUUCCAUGAAUGCAAAAUGAGGUAAGGGUGUAGUGUUCCAUUCAAGCCUCUUUAAGACAGGAAAUUAUUUUUAUAGCAAAAAGCAUUUAAAUUUGUCAUUUUGAUUAUCAGAUAUGAGUUUUAAGGAAUUUCAUUAGCGACUGAAGGGAGACUUUAAUAAGGAUACAAAAAUAAUAUCUAUUUAAAACUGACAUCUUUAUGAAUUAAUUCCAGUCUUUACCUGUUGCAUGGUGUCUCCUGUUAGGGACGCAAACUGGAGAGGUGUGCUGCUUAUUUUUACCUGGGAGACAUUAAAACAACUGUAAAAAACCAUUUGAAUGCCUCAGCAACCACAUGACAGCACUCUGUUAACCAUCUGCUAUCAUGAUGGUGACUUUUGCACAAGUAUAAUGUUUUCUUAUGAAUCAGAACUACUGUUUUUUUGCAGCACCUAUUGUUUGUUUUAUGCAGUGUUUUGUUGUUUGUUUUAUGCAGUGUUACAUUUGGAAUUUUUACAUCAACACUUUUUUUAGCAUUAAUGAUAUUUGUUAUCAAAAAUAUACUUGCAAAUAAAAUUCCUUAAACAUGCAAUGUAUAAAAAAAAUGAAAGGUCUUUAUGUGAAGCCAGAUGUCUUAAACUGAUAUUUUGUUUGCUUGCACAAUUAUUUUCUGAAAUGAAUAAACAUUUAAAUGAGAUUGUUUAGUUAGCAUUGCAGUGUCUGUUUUUAAAUAUUUUUUGUGUUCAAGAACAUCCACACAAACAGGUGCGCAAAAUGUUUAAAUAAAUAUAUAAUAUAUAUUGUUUAAAAUAAUAUACGUCAAAUAAUAUUUUCUGCUAGUGUCUUAAAGCAGAUGAUUAUUUAUUACAUGAUUACUUAAAACUAUUAUAGUAUUUAUUAAUAUUUUGAUUUUUAAUUAUAUUUUAAUAUUUUAUAAAUAUUGCAUUUUAUUUUAUAUUUUCUGUUUUGGUUUAAGUUCUAAUAAUUGUAUGUGCUUUUUUCUUUACAUUUCUGUUUAGCUUUUGCUUA
rnacentral:lncRNA from 1 species